CGCCAUGGGCUCCACAACCACCACCUGCCCCGCCAAUCGACCCGCACGACAGCAGGGAAAGGAGAGGUGGUGCCUUUGGGGUGUUAGAUUUUGCUCAGUGACCACAGGGAGGAUCAGCGAGGCGGGGGUGGGGCUGUCGAGGGCCGUUCUGGGCCUUCUGGGUGCCCAGGGGGCAGCAUCUGGGCACCGGGUGUCAGCGCUGGCUCCAGGCUUUGCUCAGAGCCCACGCAGUGCGCGUGGGGCGUGUGUGUGUGUGUGUGUGUGUGGUCUUGGGGGGAUCCCAAGGGGAGGGUCAGAGGCUCUGCUUCAACCAAGCCUCUCCUGUCAUGUCCCUCCUGGUCUGGGCGUGGUCCCUGGGGACCUUACCUCCACUUUAGAACAAAGCAGCGUUAUUUGGAGAAAGGAAGGAAAAAACUGGGGGCAGAGGCACCCGGAGUGGCAGUGCCGGGCAGCGUGCCCCACAGUCACCAGGGAGGCAGGUGGGUGGCGGAAGGUGCGGGGAGAGGAGAGGGCUGUGAGUGGGGAGGCAAGCCAGGGCCCGGCCUUUGUACACCCCUGUGCUGUUCUCUGGGGCCCAAUAUGGCUGAGAGGACGCCUUCCUUCUCUCUCCUCCCAAAAGCCCUUCCUCCUCCUCCCCUGCUUUUUAACUGCUUCCUUCCUGCAAGGCUCUUGGCGUUAGCUUCCUCGCCUCUGAGCUGCCGGCCCGGGUAGGGGUUCAGUCCAGCCAUCUCUCUGGAUGCUUCCAGGCGGUCAGCAGGGUGGGAAGAAUCUAAGAGCAUUCUGGAUGCUCCUGGCUGGCGCCCCUCCUUCCUCUGCCUGCGAGCGAGCAGCCACGCUGAAUGACUGGGAGCCGUCACACCAUAGCUUGAAAUGCCGGAGUGGCUGUGGUGAUGACGACAUAGGACACAGACAUGGUAAUAGCACACAAAAUAGGGCUGCGUUGGAGACAGAGGCGAGCCCGUCCCCUGGGAAAUGCGUUCUUCCUUUCCUCUCUGCUCCCUGGAAGUGAUGGGCUAGUCAGGAAGGACCGUCCUUCAAGUGUGGAACUUUCCGGAAUGUUUUCUCUGCAUUGAGGCAUGUAUUUAUUAUUAUUUCAAAACCACCCUCUGGUGUAUUUAUCCUUAAAUAAAGCCGGCGGCCGGAACCUGGCGCUCUUACAGGAGAGUCCUCGGACAGGUGACCAACACAGGUCCUCAGGAAGCCCCUCGUCCCCGGGGAAGCGUCAGCGUGCUCCGACGGAGUCUGGUGUGGACCACGUACCCCGCCCCCAUUCAGAUAGCCGUGACCCCAGCACCUCAGGAUGUGGAGAGAGGGUCUUUGGGGAGGUGAUUAAGGUUACACGAGGUCACUAGGGUCGCCCUAAUCCAGGACGACUGGAGUCCUUACAGAAAGCUGAGAUGCGGACACACACACAGGGGCACGGGGAGAAGGUGGCCAUCUGUGAGGCCGGGACAGAGGCCUCGGAAGGAACCACCGCUGCCCAGGCCUGCAGCGCAGGUUCUAGCCUCCGGAAUGGGGGGAACAGAAAUCUCCGGUGGUAAAGCCGCCCCGCCCGCCUGAGCGGACCAGCACCGAGUCUUUGGAAAAUGCGAAUGCAAGACGUACCUCUGAAAGGUACCUCCCAGGUCCCUAAAAACACCUGCUCUGAUAGGAGAAAGUUGCGGAAUGUGUGUGCUACCACCCGCGCCGAGAUGUUUUCAUGCUCCAAGCCCCCUGCCCACCGCACUCCCCCUCAAAGAUGUGCUCUUUUAAAAAUGUAUUUACACAACAGAUCGACACUUAAAUACGUGUUUAAAGAGCAAUGAUGACUAUGUUCACCUGUCAGAACGGCAUGGUUUCGCUCACGUGUUUUCCAGUUGGUUGGAUAAAUAAUCAGCUUGGG